UCUCUGGUGGCUUAGAGGUAAAGAAUCCACCUGCAAUGUGGGAGACCUGGGUUCAAUCCCUGGAUUGGGAA
rnacentral:tRNA from 1 species